rnacentral:lncRNA from 1 species
GCUGUACCGUGGUGUAGGCGAGUCUAUGCUUAUAACACAUUUCAUGUGAAAUCUUGAAUGAAUCCAAUAAGAAGUAAUCAUUCGAAUGGCUAUAAUAGAAGUUCUCUAUUGUUUUUCCAUGAAGUCUGAGUUGGCAAAGUUCUAAUGCACAAUUGCACGUGGUUUGAUCCUCCUUAUCAACGAAGCUGUUUGUGUGAUUGCUGUUUUAAUUUUUGGAGGUAUUAUCAUCAUCUCUCUGAGCCGACAAUCCAACGUCAGUCAACUCUUUCUCGACUUUCCCUUUUUACUGUGUCCUCGUGUACAUUCAUGCGAAGGUGAGUGUAUUCACGAGGACUUUCUUUCCUUCCGCUUUUCCUACCUGACAUUGGGACUUUUCCAGCUACGACGUUCGACUUCCUCAUCCAUUUAAGAUGGAAUAUUUCUCACGUUACCAGUGCUCCUUCGUCAAACUAUUUCUACAACUUCAAGUUCAAACUACUUCGUCGCCAUCAAAUGAAAAUAUCGAGAAAAGGCUAUUGUCAAUUACAUUUUGAGCUCUGGACGAUGGUUCUAAACGAUUUCAAGAAAAAGUGUUGCGAAACGAACCACCUCCUCCCAGUCUUGUCCAGCCAGAAAACGUCCGAUUGCUGGAAGUGACUCGAGUCGCCUGUACCGCAAUUUCAAGGACUUUGACGCAUAGCCAAGCAGAACGGAAUUGUCAAAAGCCCCAUGUGUCGUGUCUCAUGACUCAUCUUUUCCCACGCCCCUUUUUACGUCGUCUGCCGAAGAAGUUUUCCAUCAAGAAUGUAACUUAACAACUGCUUAACAAAGAAUUUAGAAGAAUGGAACAAAAGUCUUCCAUCAACAAAAACAGAAAAGCAGUGAUAUGAAUAACAAGAUUCUAAGUCUAAGGUAGCAUAGUCUCUGGGAAUUUCACGAAAAACAGUUUUCACAUCUAUAAUAAAUGUGAUC